rnacentral:pre_miRNA from 1 species
AGGAUUAUACUGUGUUAAACCAAUCAUAUUUGGGUGUUGCUUUUUUGCAACACCCAAAUAUGAUUGGUUUAACACAGUAUAAUCCU